rnacentral:rRNA from 1 species
GCCUAAUACAUGCAAGUCGAGCGAACGGACGAGAGUGCUUGCACUCUCUGAUGUUAGCGGCGGACGGGUGAGUAACACGUGGGUAACCUACCUAUAAGACUGGGAUAACUUCGGGAAACCGGAGCUAAUACCGGAUAAUAUUUAGCUUCGCAUGAAGAAAUAGUGAAAGACGGUUCUGCUGUCACUUAUAGAUGGACCCGCGGUGUAUUAGCUAGUUGGUGAGGUAACGGCUCACCAAGGCAACGAUACAUAGCCGACCUGAGAGGGUGAUCGGCCACACUGGGACUGAGACACGGCCCAGACUCCUACGGGAGGCAGCAGUAGGGAAUCUUCCGCAAUGGACGAAAGUCUGACGGAGCAACGCCGCGUGAGUGAAGAAGGUUUUCGGAUCGUAAAACUCUGUUGUAAGGGAAGAACAAGUACGUUAGUAACUGAACGUACCUUGACGGUACCUUACCAGAAAGCCACGGCUAACUACGUGCCAGCAGCCGCGGUAAUACGUAGGUGGCAAGCGUUAUCCGGAAUUAUUGGGCGUAAAGCGCGCGUAGGCGGUCUCUUAAGUCUGAUGUGAAAGCCCCCGGCUCAACCGGGGAGGGUCAUUGGAAACUGGGAGACUUGAGUGCAGAAGAGGAGAGUGGAAUUCCAUGUGUAGCGGUGAAAUGCGCAGAGAUAUGGAGGAACACCAGUGGCGAAGGCGGCUCUCUGGUCUGUAACUGACGCUGAGGUGCGAAAGCGUGGGGAUCAAACAGGAUUAGAUACCCUGGUAGUCCACGCCGUAAACGAUGAGUGCUAAGUGUUGGGGGGUUUCCGCCCCUCAGUGCUGCAGCUAACGCAUUAAGCACUCCGCCUGGGGAGUACGGUCGCAAGACUGAAACUCAAAUGAAUUGA